GCAUCACCAGAUGAAAUCACAGUGCCUGGCACUCAAUCGAAAAUUAGAAGGCAUGAAAGGAAGCAGAAAAACACAAGCCAUUAGGAGGAGAAAGGCAAAAAAGACAUAGAGAUGUUAAAGAUGAUAGAACUAGUAGAUUGAUAGGUAAAUACAAGAGGCCAAAGGUUUUACUCCAGUGAAGAAACUACAUGUGGGACAGUAGCUGCAGUUGGAGUCAUCACCUGAUUAAGUUUAUGAUGAUACACUCUUACCCUCUAAGACUGUCAGUCUUCGAAGCAUAUACUAAACAGGUGAGCACUAUAACAGCAUAUAUGGGGGCUAAAACAGACCCUCAGAGAAGCAGAAAUUGAUAAUGCAAGAGAAGAAGACGGGAG